CAGAUGGUGAUGGUUGUUUCAAGGAAGGAGUGAUGCUGUCACAGCUGUAUGGGGUCUCUGGUUAUACCACCCUGCUGUUUCACAUCAGCCAUGAGGGGAAGACCCCAGCCACAAGAUCCUGAGGCAAACUGCUGCCAGUGCCAGGACAACUGUUCCUCCAGUUUGCCAGCCCAGAUGUGUCCCCUGGCCCUCUGUUCUCAACGGCUCCGAGGGUGCCAUCUGAACCCAGAUGGGAGGAGACGGCCCGAGGAAGGGAAAGUGGAGACAAGAAUCGUGGACCCCUCCUCCCCAAAUCUUCUUGGAAUUCGGCUCUGAGCUCUGUCUCUGGCCAAGCCGAGGACCGCCUGAGACUGUGCGGUCAAGCACAGGCCCGGCAGAGAGAAGCCAUUCAAUAAAGGUCCAGUCUGGGAGUCCUGAUACCUGAUCCUGAUGCCCAUCUCCCCACCUCCCCAUCCCUCGGUCUUUGUACAUUUGCAACUGGCUGAAAUACUCAUCUCCCGAAGGUUAAGGGCAAUUGGGAGCAUCCAGCCUAAGUUUUCAACUGGAAAGAGGGGAGAACGGGGGCAGGGGGAGGUUCUCUGUCUACUGCUGCUUUGUCUAAGGGCUGCAGAGGCCUGGGAAAGGGCAACCCAGCUAUCUCCAGUCCCAGGAAGGGGC